rnacentral:rRNA from 1 species
ACGGGAGGCAGCAGUGGGGAAUAUUGCACAAUGGGGGGAACCCUGAUGCAGCAACGCCACGUGUGGGAAGAAGCAUUUCGGUGUGUAAACCACUGUCGUGAGGGAAUAAUGCUUGGUCUCGGCCAAGUUGAAUGUACCUCGAAAGGAAGCACCGGCAAACUUCGUGCCAGCAGCCGCGGUAAUACGAGGGGUGCAAGCGUUGUUCGGAAUCACUGGGCGUAAAGGGAGCGUAGGCGGAGACGCAAGCAGUCUGUACAAUACCGGGGCCCAACCCCGGACCUGCAGUCUGGACUGUGUCUCUUGGAUAGUUCAGGGGCAGGCGGAAUUCCUGGUGUAGCGGUGGAAUGCGUAGAGAUCAGGAAGAACACCGAUGGCGAAGGCAGCCUGCUAGGGACUCAUCGACGCUGAGGCUCGAAAGUGCGGGGAGCAAACAGGAUUAGAUACCCUGGUA